CAGGCCCAGAGGGAAGGGUGGAGGCUGUGAACUGCCAUUAUGCAUAUGCCUGGGGUUGUCCUGCCUUAAUUUAAGACCAUAAGCAAUCCAUCUUCUUCCAGAAACAGGGUAGAGCCUUCCCAGAUCAACAAAGCUCUGUCAGAGCUGAAGGUACACCUGAUUCCCUAGAGCACCAUUGAACAAGCCGGAUACAGUGCAGUUUGUUUCUCCUGGGCAGGCACACAUGGCGUCUGCCAAAAUGAGAACAUCGUUCACUUACACCUGUUUAUGGAAAACAAGAUACAGAAUGGCAUUGUACUUGAGAUUUGGAACCACCAGGAAUCCUGUUCUGUCUCCCCAGCUGUGCCAAUAAUUUCAUCAUAUUCAUUCCACCUGCAUGGGAUCGUGAUGCUUUCAGCCUUGGAACACCAAUAUUCACUGACAGGACACAACUUACAGUGCGGAAAGCACGAACAAACAGAGCAGAGAGAUCCCAAACAAAGGAAACCCAUUACCUGGUGUAGCAAGUUGAAUAGGGACCCUCCCCACAAAAUUCAUGUCCAUCUGAAACCAGUGAAUGUGACGGUAUUUGGAAUUGGGUCUUUGCAAAUGUAAUCAAGUUAAGAUGGGGUCGUACUCGUUGGAGGGAGUCCUAACCCCAUGACUGGUGUCCUUGGAAGAAGUGAAAUCUGGAUACAAAGACACAGAUACAGAGGGGAGGAGGCCACGUGAAGAUGGAAGUGGAGACUGGAGCCACGUAUCUACAGCAAGCAAUGCCAAGGAUGGCUGGCAACCAUCAGAAGAGGAGACAAGCAGGGAACAGUCUUGCCUUCAGAGCCUAAGGAAGGAGCCAACCUUGUAAAACCUGUUUUCAAACUUCUAGCUUCUAGAAUGGUGAGAGAAUAUGCCCAAAUUACCUCUCAUGACUCAGGAGUUCCACGCUCCUGUCCUUAGUGGCUGAAGGGACCGUUUGCCACUUCCUUCUGAAAGGACCCUUGUUACUCAGACACGCUCCCAUCAAUUCAGAUGACAGCUAACUGACAUGAACACCCACAGAUGACUUCUUAACAUAAUACAAAUUGCAUUCUGUGAAUAAAUACUUAUUGGCUUGGCUUCUUUGCCUCUGUGAUUCAGCUAUCAGAACCAUCCUUUCCUUUCCUCUUAGCUAUCAGCAAAGUGAGAGAGCUCAGAGGACACAGACAGCUGGGGGAGGGGGAGAUCUCUCUUCCUUGCAACCCUCAAGGACCUAGCACAACAAGCUUUGAUACUUAUGGGUCCUAAGGCAAAUACCUCUCAAGGAAAACCAAACCAAACCCCUAAAGGAUUUCUCUGUUCCAAUUCCAUCUGGUUGAAGAUGUAAAUUUCAUUUAGGGUCCAGUCCUGCAGUGACACAGCCAGUGCCAAAUCC
rnacentral:lncRNA from 1 species